rnacentral:rRNA from 1 species
AGUGAACGCUGGCGGUAGGCCUAACACAUGCAAGUCGAACGGCAGCACAGUAAGAGCUUGCUCUUACGGGUGGCGAGUGGCGGACGGGUGAGGAAUACAUCGGAAUCUACUUUUUCGUGGGAGAUAACGUAGGGAAACUUACGCUAAUACCGCAUACGACCUACGGGUGAAAGCAGGGGAUCUUCGGACCUUGCGCGAUUGAAUGAGCCGAUGUCGGAUUAGCUAGUUGGCGGGGUGAAGGCCCACCAAGGCGACGAUCCGUAGCUGGUCUGAGAGGAUGAUCAGCCACACUGGAACUGAGACACGGUCCAGACUCCUACGGGAGGCAGCAGCGGGGAAUAUUGGACAAUGGGCGCAAGCCUGAUCCAGCCAUACCGCGUGGGUGAAGAAGGCCUUCGGGUUGUAAAGCCCUUUUGUUGGGAAAGAAAAGCAGCAGGUUAAUACCCCGCUGUUCUGACGGUACCCAAAGAAUAAGCACCGGCUAACUUCGUG